rnacentral:rRNA from 1 species
GGGGAAUAUUGGACAAUGGGGGCAACCCUGAUCCAGCAAUGCCGCGUGUGUGAAGAAGGUCUUCGGAUUGUAAAGCACUUUCGACGGGGACGAUGAUGACGGUACCCGUAGAAGAAGCCCCGGCUAACUUCGUGCCAGCAGCCGCGGUAAUACGAAGGGGGCUAGCGUUGCUCGGAAUGACUGGGCGUAAAGGGCGUGUAGGCGGUUUACACAGUCAGAUGUGAAAUCCCCGGGCUUAACCUGGGAGCUGCAUUUGAUACGUGUAGACUAGAGUGUGGGAGAGGGUUGUGGAAUUCCCAGUGUAGAGGUGAAAUUCGUAGAUAUUGG